GACGAACGCUGGCGGCGUGCUUAACACAUGCAAGUGGAGCGACGAACCAGGCUUCGGCCUGGGGCAGAGCCGCGAACGGGUGAGUAACACGUGGGUAACCUGCCUCGAUGACCGGGACAACCCGAGGAAACCCGGGCUAAUACCGGAUGUGCUCCUUCACAUCAGUGAAGACAGGAAAGAGCUUCGGCCUCGCAUCGAGAUGGGCCCGCGGCCCAUUAGCUUGUUGGUGAGGAACGGCUCACCAAGGCUGCGAUGGGUAGCUGGUCUGAGAGGACGAUCAGCCACACUGGGACUGAGACACGGCCCAGACUCCUACGGAGGCAGCAGUGGGAAUCUUGCGCAAUGCGCGAAAG
rnacentral:rRNA from 1 species